AUUGAACGCUGGCGGCAUGCCUUACACAUGCAAGUCGAACGGCAGCACGGGUGCUUGCACCUGGUGGCGAGUGGCGAACCGGUGAGUAAUACAUCGGAACAUGUCCUGUAGUGGGGGAUAGCCCGGCGAAAGCCGGAUUAAUACCGCAUACGAUCCACGGAUGAAAGCGGGGGACCUUCGGGCCUCGCGCUAUAGGGUUGGCCGAUGGCUGAUUAGCUAGUUGGUGGGGUAAAGGCCUACCAAGGCGACGAUCAGUAGCUGGUCUGAGAGGACGACCAGCCACACUGGGACUGAGACACGGCCCAGACUCCUACGGGAGGCAGCAGUGGGGAAUUUUGGACAAUGGGCGAAAGCCUGAUCCAGCAAUGCCGCGUGUGUGAAGAAGGCCUUCGGGUUGUAAAGCACUUUUGUCCGGAAAGAAAUCCUUGGCUCUAAUACAGUCGGGGGAUGACGGUACCGGAAGAAUAAGCACCGGCUAACUACGUG
rnacentral:rRNA from 1 species